rnacentral:rRNA from 1 species
UAAUACGGAGGGUCCGAGCGUUAUCCGGAAUCAUUGGGUUUAAAGGGUCCGUAGGCGGGCCUGUAAGUCAGGGGUGAAAGUUUGUGGCUCAACCAUAAAAUUGCCUUUGAUACUGCAGGUCUUGAGUCAUGGUGGGGUUGCCGGAACAUGUGGUGUAGCGGUGAAAUGCAUAGAUAUCACAUAGAACACCGAUCGCGAAGGCAGGUGACCAACCAUGUACUGACGCUGAUGGACGAAAGCGUGGGUAGCGAACGGGAUUAGAUACCCCGGUAGUCCACGCCGUAAACGAUGGAUACUAGCUGUGGGGUUUUCGGACUCCGUGGCCAAGCGAAAGUGAUAAGUAUCCCACCUGGGGAGUACGUUCGCAAGAAUG